AACUUAUAAAAGCCGAGAAAACUUUGCACUCAUUGGAGUACUACCCACCUGUAAUACGGACGCAUAUUGCUGGUUCUGCUGAUUCCCAGUAAGAGCGGGUCCUCUUCAAGCCUGACUGCCAGAAGUUCUCUCAGUCGAGUGCAGCAAGUUUCUCUUAUGGUGAUGUAUACUUAAGCUGUUUCUUUAAGCUGAAUAUUAAGCUGUUUCCUU
rnacentral:lncRNA from 1 species